GAUGGUGAAAUUUUGUUGAUAAGGUGAAAUUUUUAAUUAGAAGGAAAUUCUUAAGAAAUCUGUUGGAAUUAAAAAAUUUAGGUAAAAAACCAGGAUUAGAUACCCUGUUAUUCUAAAUUAUAAUGUAGAUAGGGUAGUAAAAGUUGUUCUUCAAACCCAAAGAUUUUGGCGGCAUCUUAUCCUAAUAGAGGAGCUUGUUCUAUAAUUGAUAGUCCUCAUUUUAUCUUACCCUCUUUUGUUAAGCUUGUAUACCGCCGUUGUCAGAUUACUUUAGAAGAAUGUUUUCAAGAAAAAUAUUUUUUUCACUUCAGGUCAAGGUGCAGUUUAUAAGAGGGCAGCAAUGAGCUACAAUUUUUAAUAGAAAUACGAAUUUUAGGUUUGAAAUCCGGGUAAAGGUGGAUUUAUUAGUAAAUUUACUUAAGUACAGUAAGUUGAAUUGGGCAAUGGGAUGUGUACAUAUCGCCCGUCACUCUCUUCUCAAGAGGAGAUAA
rnacentral:rRNA from 1 species